rnacentral:rRNA from 1 species
CGCCGGANAACCUUACCUGGUCUUGACAUCCACGGAACUUUCCAGAGAUGGAUUGGUGCCUUCGGGAACCGUGAGACAGGUGCUGCAUGGCUGUCGUCANCUCGUGUCGUGAGAUGUUGGGUUAAGUCCCGCAACGAGCGCAACCCUUGUCCUUAGUUGCCAGCACGUAAUGGUGGGAACUCUAAGGAGACCGCCGGUGACAAACCGGAGGAAGGUGGGGAUGACGUCAAGUCAUCAUGGCCCUUACGACCAGGGCUACACACGUACUACAAUGGUAGGGACAGAGGGCUGCAAACCCGCGAGGGCAAGCCAAUCCCAGAAACCCUAUCUCAGUCCGGAUCGGAGUCUGCAACUCGACUCCGUGAAGUCGGAAUCGCUAGUAAUCGCAGAU